UUUGUUGUAGGCUCUUGAAUGGAAAUCAAUUAUCAGGUUCUUUGCCCGAUGAGCUUGGUUGUCUUCCUAACCUGGACAGAAUACAAAUAGAUCAGAACCAUAUAUUGGGACCAAUACGAAAAUCAUUUGCAAACUUGGAGAAAUUAAAGCAUUUGCACAUGAACAAUAAUUCAAUCAGUGGGGAAAUUCCACCUGAGCUUUCCAACUUACCAAUUCUUGUUCACUUCCUUCUGGACAAUAACAACUUAUCUGGGAGCCUUCCACCAGAGUUAUCUCAGUUGCCAAACUUGCACAUACUGUAUGUUCUUUCUAGCUUUUCUGUAGUGUAACUUUUAAUUUGGUUUCUUGACUUUCACUGAUUAAUUGAUGCUUGUUUCCCUUCCAGAUUCAUGCAUAUCAUCUUUUUUAUUUUUGUUUUUGUUUUUAUCCUUGUAUCCAACUUUCUCAUUAUAGUUCCAAAGAACAUUGUUAGUAGUUAGAAAAUCUAGCAUGUUGUUUUCCUUGGAGGCCGAGUUACAUAAGAAUAGCUCUUUUGUAGUGAGCUUCUGAAAUUUCCUAGUCAUCUAUGGUAACCACAUCAUAGAUUUUUCUUUGGAGGGUUGGGGAGGGGGACUAAGAAAACAGCCAUGAUUAGCUCUUCUUGUAAGCGGCAUUGAGACAUGGUGGUGAUGAUGGCUUCUUUGGUUCUCAUAUAAGUCAACGGUAUAAAUCUAACAAAUGUCAGAGAACAAAAGAUUAUCAAAACAUGAUUUAAGGACCAUCAACUUCUCUACCUGUUGAUAUUCCUUACAUCUAGGCAUAGAUCAUUCACUUGGAUU